CGGGACCGCACAGGCGGUGGAUGAUGUGGAUUAAUUCGAUGCAACGCGAAAACCUUACCUACCCUUGACAUGUCCGGAAUCCCGAAGAGAUUUGGGAGUGCUCGCAAGAGAACCGGAACACAGGUGCUGCAUGGCUGUCGUCAGCUCGUGUCGUGAGAUGUUGGGUUAAGUCCCGCAACGAGCGCAACCCUUGUCAUUAGUUGCCAUCAUUUGGUUGGGCACUCUAAUGAGACCGCCGGUGACAAACCGGAGGAAGGUGGGGAUGACGUCAAGUCCUCAUGGCCCUUAUGGGUAGGGCUUCACACGUCAUACAAUGGUCGGUACAGAGGGUUGCCAACCCGCGAGGGGGGAGCUAAUCCCACAAAGCCGAUCGUAGUCCGGAUCGCAGUCUGCAACUCGACUGCGUGAAGUCGGAAUCGCUAGUAAUCGUGGAUCAGCAUGUCACGGUGAAUACGUUCCCGGGUCUU
rnacentral:rRNA from 1 species